AACGAACGCUGGCGGCAGGCUUAACACAUGCAAGUCGAACGGUCCGCAAGGAUAGUGGCAAACGGGUGAGUAAUACAUGGGAAUGUACCUUUUAGUUCGGGAUAACAGCGGGAAACUGCUGCUAAUACCGGAUGCGCUCUACGGAGGAAAGAUUUAUCGCUGAAAGAUCAGCCCAUGCCAGAUUAGCUAGUUGGUGAGGUAAUGGCUCACCAAGGCAGUGAUCUGUAGCGGGUCUGAGAGGAUGAUCCGCCACACUGGGACUGCGAUACGGCCCAGACUCCUACGGGAGGCAGCGGUGAGGAAUAUUGGACAAUGGAGGCAACUCUGAUCCAGCCAUGCCGCGUGAAUGAUGAAGGCCUUAGGGUUGUAAAGUUCUUUAAGUGGUGAAGAUAAUGACGGUACCCACAGAAUAAGCACCGGCUAACUUCGUGCCAGCAGCCGCGGUAA
rnacentral:rRNA from 1 species